AUACGGAGGGUCCAAGCGUUAUCCGGAAUCAUUGGGUUUAAAGGGUUCGCAGGCGGUUUAAUAAGUCAGUGGUGAAAUCCUACAGCUCAACUGUAGAACUGCCAUUGAUACUGUUAGACUUGAAUAUAGUUGGAGUAGGCGGAAUGUGUAGUGUAGCGGUGAAAUGCUUAGAUAUUACACAGAACACCGAUAGCGAAGGCAGCUUACUAAACUAUUAUUGACGCUCAUGAACGAAAGCGUGGGGAGCGAACAGGAUUAGAAACCCUAGUAGUCC
rnacentral:rRNA from 1 species